rnacentral:rRNA from 1 species
UACGUAUGGUGCAAGCGUUAUCCGGAUUUACUGGGUGUAAAGGGUGCGUAGGCGGGCUUUUAAGUCAGCGGUAAAAAUUCGGGGCUCAACCCCGUCCGGCCGUUGAAACUGGGGGCCUUGAGUGGGCGAGAAGAAGGCGGAAUGCGUGGUGUAGCGGUGAAAUGCAUAGAUAUCACGCAGAACCCCGAUUGCGAAGGCAGCCUUCCGGCGCCCUACUGACGCUGAGGCACGAAAGUGCGGGGAUCGAACAGG